AGAGUUUGAUCAUGGCUCAGGACGAACGCUGGCGGCGUGCUUAACACAUGCAAGUCGAGCGAUGAAGCUCCUUCGGGAGUGGAUUAGCGGCGGACGGGUGAGUAACACGUGGGUAACCUGCCUCGUAGAGGGGAAUAGCCUUCCGAAAGGAAGAUUAAUACCGCAUAAGAUUGUAGUUUCGCAUGAAACAGCAAUUAAAGGAGUAAUCCGCUAUGAGAUGGACCCGCGUCGCAUUAGCUAGUUGGUGAGGUAACGGCUCACCAAGGCGACGAUGCGUAGCCGACCUGAGAGGGUGAUCGGCCACAUUGGGACUGAGACACGGCCCAGACUCCUACGGGAGGCAGCAGUGGGGAAUAUUGCACAAUGGGGGAAACCCUGAUGCAGCAACGCCGCGUGAGUGAUGACGGUCUUCGGAUUGUAAAACUCUGUCUUCAGGGACGAUAAUGACGGUACCUGAGGAGGAAGCCACGGCUAACUACGUGCCAGCAGCCGCGGUAAUACGUAGGUGGCAAGCGUUGUCCGGAUUUACUGGGCGUAAAGGGAGCGUAGGUGGAUAUUUAAGUGGGAUGUGAAAUACUCGGGCUCAACCUGAGUGCUGCAUUCCAAACUGGAUAUCUAGAGUGCAGGAGAGGAAAGUAGAAUUCCUAGUGUAGCGGUGAAAUGCGUAGAGAUUAGGAAGAAUACCAGUGGCGAAGGCGACUUUCUGGACUGUAACUGACACUGAGGCUCGAAAGCGUGGGGAGCAAACAGGAUUAGAUACCCUAGUAGUCC
rnacentral:rRNA from 1 species